CCUACGGGAGGCAGCAGUAGGGAAUCUUCCACAAUGGGCGAAAGCCUGAUGGAGCAACGCCGCGUGGGUGAAGAAGGUCUUCGGAUCGUAAAACCCUGUUGUUAGAGAAGAAAGUGCGUGAGAGUAACUGUUCACGUUUCGACGGUAUCUAACCAGAAAGCCACGGCUAACUACGUGCCAGCAGCCGAGGUAAUACGUCGGUGGCAAGCGUUAUCCGGAUUUGUUGGGCGUAAAGGGAACGCAGGCGGUCUUUUAAGGCUGAUGUGAAAGCCUUCGGCUUAACCGGAGUAGUGCAUUGGAAACUGGGAGACUUGAGUGCAGAAGAGGAGAGUGGAACUCCAGGUGUAGCGGUGAAAUGCGUAGAUAUAUGGAAGAACACCAGUGGCGAAGGCGGCUCUCGGGUCUGUAACUGACGCUGAGGUUCGAAAGCGUGGGUAGCAAACAGGAUUAGAUACCCCGGUAGUC
rnacentral:rRNA from 1 species